rnacentral:rRNA from 1 species
UUACGCUGGCGGCGCGCAUAACACAUGCAAGUCGAGCGAGGGCUCAUUUCCCGCAAGGGAGAUGGGUUCCUAGCGGCGAACGGGUGAGUAACACGUGGGCAACCUUUCCUAUCGCGGGGGAUAACGGCGGGAAACCGCUGCUAAUACCGCAUGUCGUCAUCGGUCGCAUGGCCGGUGAAGAAAGCAGCAAUGCACGAUGGGGUGGGCCCGCGGCCUAUCAGCUAGUCGGUGGGGUAACGGCCUACCGAGGCGAUGACGGGUAGCUGGUCUGAGAGGACGACCAGCCACACGGGGACUGAGACACGGCCCCGACUCCUACGGGAGGCAGCAGUGAGGAAUCUUCCGCAAUGGGCGAAAGCCUGACGGAGCGACGCCGCGUGUGGGAUGAAGUCCUUCGGGAUGUAAACCACUGUUGGAGGGGAAGACUGCGACGGUACCCUCCGAGAAAGCCCCGGCUAACUACGUGCCAGCAGCCGCGGUAAUACGUAGGGGGCAAGCGUUAUCCAGAUUUACUGGGCGUUAAGCGCGUGUAGGCGGCUGGUUAAGUGUGAUGUGAAAUCUUCGGGCUCAA